CACACACACACACACACACACACACACCUGCUGUUCUCUGUGUGUCCAAUGUGACGUCCAGUCUGAUCUGAGUGUGAUAUGAAACUACACUCUGAGUGAUACACAAACUUUUUGUUUCUGUUUCAGGUUCUUCACCUGGAUAUCGUGAUAUCUUUGGUCUGAGAAUUACUUUGGUUGGUUUAGUUUUUGUGGCUGUUGUGCUGGGUUUUGCAUAAAGCGUCACUGUAUAAAUCGUAAAAAGGUUCAAAUGCAGAUUCAGUCUUCCAGUGGACUCUUGCAGCCAUCUAAAACAACUCUGUGAAGUAUGUGUGACCUUAAGUAUUACUGGAUUACAUGGAGGGCAGAGGGUGGCUCUGAAUCAAGUUCAACAUAAAGUUAGAGAGUAUUUAGAGCUGUAUUGGGCUUUAUGAAAGUGUUCAUCAACUUGUUAACUCAGGCUUUCUGCUUCAGGCUCUGAGCAUCGACGCUUCUUCUGCACAAAAUGGAAUGAUCACAGGCUGUCUGCUUCUGUCAGUUUAUAUAUAACUUUAGUUUGAAGUUGUAACGUUUUUUUAUUUUAUUGUUGUGUCACAUACAUUUAUAUGCCCAGCCCGCGUGGGCUUACGUGACACCGUAAAUUAAAAUGUUCCAGGAUCAGAGUGCACUCGGUAAACUAUAUUCAUUGUCAAGAAACAAAAAGAGAAAGUCAAACUAAUUAAACAGAAUAUCCUGUCUUCUAUUCCAGGUGUUUGAAAAUGUUCAAACUUCAGAGAGUUAUGCAACUGUUGAAUUUAUUUUUACCAUAUAUGUUAUUUUUCUUUUAUUAUCACUUAAUCUUUUUGUCAUUUCAUUCAUAUCAUAUAGUCAAUACGACUUAGGUUUUUUUUUGUGCUUUUACAUAUCCUGUCAAUCCUACACACACCCGCGGUGCCUAUGCACCUGUGAGGUCAGGAUAAGUGUGCCAUACUUUGAGCAAAACCAUAUACGAGCUCGUAGGUGUAUAGCGUUUCUGUGAAUCUGCCUGGUUCAAGCUAAAAACUACAUAUGAACUUAGUAUCACCUGUGUUACCUUGUAUGAUUUGACAUUAAAACCACAUAUGAACUUAGUAUCACCUGUGUUAUCUUGUAUGAUUUGACAUUAAAACCACAUAUGAACUUAG